UUCAGGGCUGCUCCACUGAGCCUUCAGUGUUGUUCUGUUUAACUCAGAGAAGAAGGUUCUGAUUCAGCGCCGAGCGGACACGAAACUUACUUUCCCGGAAAGGAAUGGGGUCUAGGACUUGCCAGAGUGAGUAGCCAUAAGAACAUGAGGGAAGCUCUGCCCCAGUUGCCGGACAACAGGGAAAACUCCUGAAGGAAGGCACCAUCACCACCAAAACCCCCCAUCGGACCCUGUAAUCUACAAGUUCCAUACCCUGCCUGGAUACCCAUCUUCCUGUGACCCUAGUAACCUCCUGAGGCCAGAAACCAAACCACCAGCUCUCAUUGGACCAAGAGGUACCUGAAUUCCAGUUGCCUCCAGAGGAUAUGGAAGUCAUAGAUGGCCUGAACAGAAAUUUCAGAUAUUUUCCCAUGAACUUGUAAGUAACUUCAAUAAAUGCUGUAAGGUUAUUUGACAAACACGUUGCUACAAUUUCCUAAUCUUAAG